rnacentral:tRNA from 1 species
CCCUGGGUGGUGCAAAUGGUUAGCACACUUGGCUGCUAACCAAAAAGUUGGAGGUUGAAUCCACCCAGAGG